rnacentral:rRNA from 1 species
ACGGAGGGAGCUAGCGUUGUUCGGAAUUACUGGGCGUAAAGGGCGCGUAGGCGGUGAUAUAAGUCAGAUGUGAAAACCAUCGGCUUAACCGAUUGGAUUGCAUUUGAUACUGUAUCACUUGAGUUCAGUAGAGGAGAGUGGAAUUCCCAGUGUAGCGGUGGAAUGCGUAGAUAUUGGGUAGAACGCCAGUGGAGAAGGCGGGUCUCUGGACUGAUUCUGCCACUGAGGCGCCAGAGCUAGGGGAGCGAACAG